rnacentral:misc_RNA from 1 species
GAUGCACUAGAUGAAGGUGUCGAGUUCAAGUCUAAAUCAUACGUCGCGUGUGCGUUGAUUUGGCACGGAUGUGGUACUGAACAUACGCUGCUAGGUGGGCUUGCAUAUAAAGCUAUUGUUGAGACCGCCAUGGCUCAACCAGAUUUUGGUUGAACUUUAAAUUUCAAACCCAAAAGAAACCCAAAUGAAGCAAUAUGCUCACUUAAAUCAAAUUUUAACAAAAACCCAACAAUUUUCUCCAAAAACCCACAAA